AUAUACAGCCAUACCACUUUGAACGUGUCCAAUCUCGUCUGAUCUCGGGAGCUUAGCAGGGUUGGGUCUGGUUUGCACUCAGGUGGGAGACACGCCUUUUAGAUCCAGCUCCAUCAGGUGUUGGCUGUGUGUU
rnacentral:rRNA from 1 species